rnacentral:misc_RNA from 1 species
GAUGAAGAACGCAGUGAAAUGCGAUAAGUAAUGUGAAUUGCAGAAUUCAGUGAAUCAUCGAAUCUUUGAACGCACAUUGCGCCCGCCAGUAUUCUGGCGGGCAUGCCCGUUCGAGCGUCAUUACAACCCUCAGGCCCCCGGGCCUGGCGUUGGGGAUCGGCGGAGCCCCCCGUGGGCACACGCCGUCCCCCAAAUACAGUGGCGGUCCGCCGCAGCUUCCAUCGCGUAGUAGCUAACACCUCGCGACUGGAGAGCGGCGCGGCCACGCCGUAAAACACCCAACUCUUCUGAAGUUGACCUCGAAUCAGGUAGGAAUACCCGCUGAACUUAAGCAUAUCAAUAAGCGGAGGA